rnacentral:rRNA from 1 species
CAGUCGCCACGGUAAUACGUAGGGUGCAAGCGUUAAUCGGAAUUACUGGGCGUAAAGCGUGCGCAGGCGGUUCGCUAAGACAGAUGUGAAAUCCCCGGGCUUAACCUGGGAACUGCAUUUGUGACUGGCGGGCUAGAGUAUGGCAGAGGGGGGUAGAAUUCCACGUGUAGCAGUGAAAUGCGUAGAGAUGUGGAGGAAUACCGAUGGCGAAGGCAGCCCCCUGGGCCAAUACUGACGCUCAUGCACGAAAGCGUGGGGAGCAAACAGGAUUAGAUACCCGCGUAGUCCCUGUCUCUUAUAC